rnacentral:lncRNA from 1 species
AUGGCGUCGAAAACAAGCCUGAGCUUCCAGAGAUUAGGCAUUGCGUCCGCCUCAAAUCUUAGCCAAGCUAUUCCACUCAUGAACCUCAGCUUCAAGUACUUGAGAGCUGUGAAUCCAGCAGCCGUGCCAAAGAUUAUCUUAACAUUAGGUGACUUGUCCACAUACAAUGACAGGGCAGUGAGGGCAGGAAACCCACUAAGAACAUCAACGUCAUUUACUGACAGUCCAGCCACUGCAAUCUUCAGAAUGCAUAGGUUGCCAAGUUGGAUAUUCCACCUAUGCAUGUCGCAAAAUACGACGGGGCUGUGUGGUGAGACCUCGAGUCUCUGGAGAUGAUGGAUAGGUCUAUCCAAGAACCACAAAACUCUUGCUUCUGAAGCGUCACCAUAGCUAACCGAGGAUCCGUGAGCCACCAGUUUUACAGUUUUCAGGCUGUCAUGUUCAUACAUUAAAUAAUCCAGAGCAUACAUGCUUCUCUGCGGUUGGUCGGGAUCUGAAGAAGGCGGUGUCGAAAUGCAAAGAUCCUGCAGGUGGUUCGGCUUGCAAAGGCACAUAUCAUCACCGACAGACCAAUCCAGCAAAUUUGUGUGAGGAGGAAGACUGAGGNNNNNNNNNNNNNNNNNNNNNNNNNNNNNNNNNNNNNNNNNNNNNNNNNNNNNNNNNNNNNNNNNNNNNNNNNNNNNNNNNNNNNNNNNNNNNNNNNNNNUACCAUGUCGAUAUUGUCUCCACUGGUCACACACCGAAUAAAGUUCAAGUCGUUGGUCCAUUUGAGGGAUGGCGUCGAAAACAAGCCUGAGCUUCCAGAGAUUAGGCAUUGCGUCCGCCUCAAAUCUUAGCCAGGCUAUUCCAAUCAUGAACCUCAGCUUCAAGUACUUGAGAGCUGUGAAUCCAGCACCCGUGCCAAAUAUUAUCUUAACAUUAGGUGACUUCUCCACAUACAACGACAGGGCAGUGAGGGCAGUCAACCCUCUAAGAAUAUCAACAUUAUGUACCGACAGUUCACUCAAUGCAAUCUUCAGAAUGCACAGGUUGCCAAGUUGGAUCCUCCACCUAUGCAUUUGGCAAAAUACGACGGGGCUGUGUGGUGAGACCUCAGAUCUCUGGAUAUGGUGGGUAGGUUUAUUUAAAAUCCAGCCAACUCUUGCUCUUGAAGCGUCACCAUAGCUAACCGAGGACCCGCAAGUCACCAGUUUUACAGUUUUCAGGCUGUCAUGUUCAUACAUUAAAUAACCCAGAGCAUACAUGCUUCUCUCCAGUUGGUCGGAAUCUGAAGAAGGCGGUGUCGAAAUGCAAAGAUCCUGCAGGUGGUUCGGCCUGCAAAGGCUCAUCUCAUCGUCGACAGACCAAUCCAGCAAAUUUGUGUCAGGAGGAAGACUGAGGNNNNNNNNNNNNNNNNNNNNNNNNNNNNNNNNNNNNNNNNNNNNNNNNNNNNNNNNNNNNNNNNNNNNNNNNNNNNNNNNNNNNNNNNNNNNNNNNNNNNAGUACGUAUACUACGUAGUAUAUAUAUAUAUAUAUAUAUAUAUAUAUAUAUAUAUAUAUAUACAUAUAAUAUAUUAUAAAACAAUUCACAGUUAUGCAAAUAUAGUAUCCCAGCGUCAGACAGAACACGAGUAUUGCAAGUGCAGUAAAAGCAGGAAAAACACGUUCAACCUUGCCUUAUUUCCUUAUUUCCGGUUGAUCGUUGUACAAACGACUUUAAGAAAAAUAAACAACUGGAAAGUAAAAUCAUGAUUUUACACUCUUAGAGCAGAUUAAUCUAAAUACCAAACUAGGAGUAAAUACAUUUUCAGAACAACUGACUGAAUAUCGAAGGGUCCAAAUUGUUUUUUAUUCAGAGUUUGAAAAAUCUUGAACAAAAAAUAGAGGGAAAGCUAGAGACUGCAUUGGAAGUAACUGAGAGUUCUGUUUUACUGUAAAGAUAAAGUUGGGUGAUGGAGAUGAAGAUCGUUAGAACACCAUAUGAAAACAUUAUUGGAACACAAAUUGCAACUGGAAAUAACAGCUAGUGACUAAAACUCGGAUGUUUCUGCAGGCACUUUCUCUGGAGCUCAUUCAUGUCUUCUCUUUUUGUAUGAUCAGCAGAGCGCUCCCAGGAAAUUCAGACUGAGAAUGAGGCACAGCCAGCACUGCAUGGAAAUAUGAAGAGAAACGCUGUGUCAUUGAAAUCAUGGAGCAAACUUGAUAAAGAAAAAUAAUAUACAAAGCGAGUACGUACAAGGUAAGUAACUUACUCAUAUCUUGCAUGCAUGCAUCCAACCUUUUAUUCAGUCGACCGACUCAGCAGCCCAUCACGGCGCACACAAUCCAACUUACUCAUAUAUUGUAUGCAUGCAUUCUUUAUUCAGUUGACCGACUCAGCAACCCAUCACUGCGCACACAAUCCGCUCGCCCCGGUAUGGCCGUGUGGCAAACAAAUCCCAGACAGGCGGUUCCCCAUCCGGGGUCCAUGAAUGAAGCUCAACCACCUUUUCAUCUGUUGAAUCGUUUGGACGCCCGAUAACAAUCAGCCGGUCACCACACGCUCGGAAACCCAUGUCCCAGCCAUCUUUGUCCUUAGACUGCACGGGCAAUUUUCCAAGAGUGGUCCACUUGUUGUCCAGCUUAUCAUACAGCUUCAAAUCAUUAUUCUCACUGUAAUCAGCAGCAUAAAGCUCGUUGUUCACAACCGCAAGGAGCGGAGGAGCUCCCGCGAAUGUCUCGUUGAGCCCCUGAGACAUGUUGUCGAUGACCCUCCAUGACCGCAGGUUCAAGUCAUACUCCUCACCGCAAGUCAACACCUGGUGGCUACUGGAAUAACCACCGAUGACAUAGAACUUGCCGUCCAUGAAGGCGCCAGAGCAUCCGUACCUGGCCCUAUUCAUGCUGGGAAGGGGUGUCCAAGUAUGUGUCUCCGAGUCAUACAUCUCUGCCGUGCUCAAUACAUUAGUACCAGAAGGAUCAAGGCCUCCCGCGACGUACGCCUUCUCACCUACACUGGCUGACCCAAACCAGGCCCGCGGGGUGUUGAUCGCAUCAGCAUCAGCAUCAGGCAGCCCUGUCCAUGAAUUGGUAAGGAUGCUAUAUCUCAAGGAAACCCCUGCGGACCCAAACACCAGCAGCUCGGUUCCUACAGCCAGUGACUCCCAGAAUCUGCUUUGAGCCGGUGGCAUCUUGGGCACUUUGAUCCAGCGCCCGGUGGACGGGUCAUAAGCAUCCCACUCCGGAGGAUUAUUAUUACCGCAGGAGAGGUAGAUCCAGUGCUCUGCCACCCCAUUCUUGCGACGAAGGCGGUAGAUGUCCCCGUCGCGAACCACCGAAUUGAAUUCACGGUUGAGGGAGGCGAUGGAGGCGCCGUAGUCCCGCCUGGACACAAGGUGGAGGCAACGGAUGAAGAGCUCCCGACCUAUCACAUCAAUGGUAUUGCUCCACGACACCACGGUCUGCUGCGCUCCACCUGACAAAAGCCAACAGCUCAUCCAUCGUCUUACUAAUUUCUACGAGUAAUUAAUAGCUAUUGGAACUCCUGUUGACUGAAUAGCAUACCUGGAGGAUUCAGGCGUGAACAGGACUCUGGUGACCUCGAUGAUACCCUGCAGGUUACAACUACCAUUUAGAGCAUGAGCAUGAAUAGUCAAAUCAGGUUUAAUCGAAUAACUCAACAUCAACAAAAGUAGUUUACAACAGCAACAAAAGUAGUACCUUUUAUCGCCAUGGGAACCGGAAUCCACUAAUUUCACCUCGAUUAUAGGAUUGCUCAGAUGAUUGCUAACAACACCGAUCCUCGCGACAUACUGCAGAUCAACAGCCGCACCCCCAAAUUUAGCGGAGACCUCUCUAAGGCCCGUCAUAUGCUCGAUGCUGAUUAGUGCAUUACCAUGUCGAUAUUGUCUCCACUGGUCACGCUUAGAAUAAAGUUCAAGUCGUUGGUCCAUUUGAGGGAUGGCGUCGAAAACAAGCCUGAGCUUCCAGAGAUUAGGCAUUGCGUCCGCCUCAAAUCUUAGCCAAGCUAUUCCACUCAUGAACCUCAGCUUCAAGUACUUGAGAGCUGUGAAUCCAGCAGCCGUGCCAAAGAUUAUCUUAACAUUAGGUGACUUGUCCACAUACAAUGACAGGGCAGUGAGGGCAGGAAACCCACUAAGAAUAUCAACGUCAUUUACUGACAGUCCAUCCACUGCAAUCUUCAGAAUGCAUAGGUUGCCAAGUUGGAUCUUCCACCUAUGCAUUUCGCAAAAUACGACGGGGCUGUGUGGUGAGACCUCGAAUCUCUGGAGAUGGUGGAUAGGUCUAUC